UGGCGGACGGGUGAGUAAUGUCUGGGAAACUGCCCGAUGGAGGGGGAUAACUACUGGAAACGGUAGCUAAUACCGCAUAACGUCGCAAGACCAAAGAGGGGGACCUUCGGGCCUCUUGCCAUCGGAUGUGCCCAGAUGGGAUUAGCUAGUAGGUGGGGUAACGGCUCACCUAGGCGACGAUCCCUAGCUGGUCUGAGAGGAUGAUCAGCCACACUGGGACUGAGACACGGCCCAA
rnacentral:rRNA from 1 species